rnacentral:miRNA from 1 species
ACACCAAAAUCGUUUCUCCUGU